AGCGAACGCUGGCGGCAGGCCUAACACAUGCAAGUCGAACGAAGUCUUCGGACUUAGUGGCGGACGGGUGAGUAACACGUGGGAACGUGCCUUUAGGUUCGGAAUAACUCAGGGAAACUUGUGCUAAUACCGAAUGUGCCCUUCGGGGAAAGAUUUAUCGCCUUUAGAGCGGCCCGCGUCUGAUUAGCUAGUUGGUGGGGUAAAGGCUCACCAAGGCGACGAUCAGUAGCUGGUCUGAGAGGAUGAUCAGCCACAUUGGGACUGAGACACGGCCCAAACUCCUACGGGAGGCAGCAGUGGGGAAUCUUGCGCAAUGGGCGAAAGCCUGACGUAGCCAUGCCGCGUGAAUGAUGAAGGUCUUAGGAUUGUAAAAUUCUUUCACCGGGGACGAUAAUGACGGUACCCGGAGAAGAAGCCCCGGCUAACUUCGUGCCAGCCGCCGCCGUAAAAC
rnacentral:rRNA from 1 species